CCUACGGGAGGCAGCAGGAGGGAAUCUUGCACAAUGGGCGAAAGCCAGAUGCAGCGACGCCGCGUGGGCGAUGAAGGCCUUCGGGUUGUAAAGCCCUUUUCCGAGGGAAGAGCAAGGACGGUACCUCGGGAAUAAGCCACGGCUAACUACGUGCCAGCAGCCGCGGUAAGACGUAGGUGGCGAGCGUUAUCCGGAUUCAUUGGGCGUAAAGCGCGUGCAGGUGGUUCUGUAAGUCGGGUGUGAAAGCCCCGGGCCCAACCGGGGGAGGGCAUUCGAUACUGCAGGGCUUGAGGUCAGAAGAGGGGAGCGGAAUUCCCGGGGUAGCGGUGAAAUGCGUAGAGAUCGGGAGGAACACCAGUGGCGAAAGCGGCUCCCGGGUCUGCACCUGACACUGAGACGCGAAAGCGGGGGGAGCGAUCGGGAUUAGAUACCCCUGUAGU
rnacentral:rRNA from 1 species